UCUUAUGGAUGUGCAAAGAACGUGAUUUCUUGAGAUGGAAACUCCUCCUGGUGAAGAUGCUGUGAA
rnacentral:pre_miRNA from 3 species